AUUGGCUAGGAUCAUAAACUGUCAUGAAGCAUUAAUGAGAGCACAUUUUACUUCGUUAUUUCAUUUCUUAAGUUGUUAUUGACGGCUCUUCAGCCUUGAGGGUUGUGACAGUGCUAUUUCCUAAUACAUAUAACAGGAUGGAGCAAGAUUUAAGCAAGAUCAUUUUCAUUGACCUUUUCCAUGACACUUAAAUGAAUUAGCAUGCAAAUAUAAUCCGUAUUGAAUAUGUUGCAGUUUCUUAAAGGCUAAAUAUAGUAGCAGUAUAGUUAUGUACAAAGUGUCACGAAAACUACAUGAGAUCUAAACUCUACCUGUCAUUUUAUUACUAUAAAUUGGAACUUAAAUAUAGGUAUGGUUUUCUUUCCCUUAGUCGACAACAUGCUUCUUGCAGAGAGCAGAAUAUACUGCAGUUUUCUAACAUAUAACUGAGUUGGAUCCACUUUUUAAUGGAAAAGUAAGUUACUUCAGAAGCCUUUUCAACAGAAAUCAACAGAACAUUCCUCAGAUCCAGAACUAGGGGGAGCUGUACCUCUAGAUGAGCUGGUGUGACCUUCCAGCAACUGAUCAACGUUUGUUCUCACGGACAGCAAACAACAUUAACUAAUUUGCUCAAAAGAACAAUUUUAUUUAUGUAUAUAGAGCUUUCUGAUACCCUAAGCCUACCUUCAGUUCUUCAUCUGGAGUAUUAAAAAAUGCAGCCCCACAGUUUUUUUUUCUUUCCUGCUAAGUAAAAAUUUUUACAAACGCAGAAAGGAAAAUAACAACUUUAAGAGGUAGCUCUUUCCACAUCUGCAAGAGGAAAAUUCAGGCCAACAGUGAAAAGGAAAAACAAUUCUAAGUAAUUCCAGUUCUGGGUUUCUAAAUCAUCUGUUUCCAUUAACUGGCAGAGAAUGAAGCACUUACUGGGCAAAAAUAACGUAACACCAGACAACUUUGCUGAGAACCUAUUCACAUUGCAAAAUACCAGGUCUCUGUUCAGCUAAGCUAACUUAAGUAGUAAUCAAUGAUUUAAUAGUGUAAUUUAAAUAACAAUAUUAUAAACAUCCACAUAUGAGUAAAGUU